AGAGAGAGAGAGAGAGAUUAUAAAAAAUGUUAAAGAAAUAAACCCAAGACUACAACUUUUAGAAGCAACAUUUCUCAUAAAUCAUAGGAAAGGAAGCUAAAAAUGUUGUAAAUAUGAAAAGUGCUAAAAUAAAAUUCUUAAACAAGAUCAUAAAUAGGACAAAAAAAACUGAUUUUUCAUAAGAAUUAAACCAAAAUAAUUACUAAAUGUUUUUCCUGGGUUGCAUGAGAGAGAAAGAGACAGAAACAUGCCUAAUCAGUAUCCAGCUGUUAUGGAAAGUCAAUCACUAUG
rnacentral:misc_RNA from 1 species